rnacentral:rRNA from 1 species
GCUGCGGCAUGCCUAACACAUGCAAGUCGAACGAGACCUUCGGGUCUAGUGGCGCACGGGUGCGUAACGCGUGGGAAUCUGCCCUUGGGUUCGGAAUAACAGUUAGAAAUGACUGCUAAUACCGGAUAAUGUCUUCGGACCAAAGAUUUAUCGCCCAGGGAUGAGCCCGCGUAGGAUUAGCUAGUUGGUGAGGUAAAAGGCUCACCAAGGCGACGAUCCUUAGCUGGUCUGAGAGGAUGAUCAGCCACACUGGGACUGAGACACGGCCCAGACUCCUACGGGAGGCAGCAGUGGGGAAUAUUGGACAAUGGGCGAAAGCCUGAUCCAGCAAUGCCGCGUGAGUGAUGAAGGCCUUAGGGUUGUAAAGCUCUUUUACCCGGGAUGAUAAUGACAGUACCGGGAGAAUAAGCCCCGGCUAACUCCGUG